rnacentral:rRNA from 1 species
AUUGAACGCUGGCGGAAUGCUUUACACAUGCAAGUCGAACGGCAGCACGGGUGCUUGCACCUGGUGGCGAGUGGCGAACGGGUGAGUAAUAUAUCGGAACGUAUCCAAUAAUGGGGGAUAACUAAUCGAAAGGUUGGCUAAUACCGCAUACGCCCUACGGGGGAAAGCUAGGGACCUUCGGGCCUGGCGUUAAUGGAGCGGCCGAUAUCUGAUUAGCUAGUUGGUGGGGUAAUGGCCUACCAAGGCGACGAUCAGUAGCUGGUCUGAGAGGACGACCAGCCACACUGGAACUGAGACACGGUCCAGACUCCUACGGGAGGCAGCAGUGGGGAAUUUUGGACAAUGGGCGCAAGCCUGAUCCAGCCAUUCCGCGUGAGUGAAGAAGGCCUUCGGGUUGUAAAGCUCUUUCGCAAGGGAAGAAAACUUAUCCUCUAACAUAGGAUGAGGUUGACGGUCCCUUGAUAAGAAGCACCGGCUAACUACGUGCCAGCCGCCGCAGUAA